AAUCCUAAAAAGAUUAUCUAUGACAAUCCGUAUAAAACCAAAACCGAACUAUUGGAAACCGUACUAUUUAAGGAACGACUGUAGUUGAUGUGAGAAGCGAUGGUGUCUUAAAAUACAGCCCACACACGCCCUGGAUGACGACAGAAUGAGCUUGUGGCAUAGAUGGAAAUUGAUGUAGAUGCAGAUAAAGACAGACACAUGGAGAGAUACAUAUGCAGCUCAUGGUAUUGGCAGAAUGUUAGGAGAAAUACUGGGGCACACACACCCUGGUUGACGAUAGAUAGAGCUUGUGGCAUAGACAGAGAUUGAUGUAGAUGCAGAUAUAGACAGAGACAUAGAGAUAGAGAUAGCUUGUGAUAUCAACCGGAAUGUUAGCAAGGGAAAUCUUAGAACACAUACCCCUUGAAAUACAAUAGAUACAGCUUGUGAUAGAUACAGAUAUACAUACAGCUUGUGAUAUCGACUGAAAUGUUAGUAUGGGGUAAUUUUAGAACAGGCAAACUUUGAAAUAUAAUAGAUAACGCUUGCAAUAGAUACAGAUAGAGAGAUACAGGCAUAACUAGAGCUUGUGAUAUUGACUGGAAUGUUAGCAAGGGGAAUUUUGGAACACUCCCCCCCUUAAAUGAUAACAGAUACAGCUUACGAUAGAUACAGACGGAGAUAAAGAAACAGGCAUAGAAAGAGCUUGUGAUAUUGACCGGAAUGUUAGCAAGGGUAAUUUUGGACCCCCCCCCCCCUAACCCAGUAGCAGCGGGGAUCAUGUUUCUUAAUGGUCCCUCCAAGCGAGAAAAUUGAGAAAAAAUCGCCCCUCACACAAACCAUUUCAUAAUCUAUAUCAAAGCAUUUGUGAUCAGUUUAUGCAUCAUCUAUUUUGGGGGGUUUAUAUCAUGGCACAAAUUUGGCCCGUCGCUGCUACCGGGUUAAAUGACAACAGAUACAGACAUAGAUAUACAUACAGCUUGUGAUAUUGACUGAAAUCUUAGUAUAGGGUAAUUUUAGAAUAGACAAACUUUGAAAUACAAUAAAUAACGCUUCCAAUAGAUACAUAUAGAGAUACAGGGAUGUGCGUCAUUAUGAAAAACUGAUUGAGUCUAAAAUUCUGACGAUCGCCGAGAAGUGACUUAGGCAGGUUGUUGAUGAGGGCGACGGCAUAUUAGAUGGCUGUUUCUCUCUCUCUCUCUUUCUCUCUCUCUCUCUCUCUCUCUCUCUCUCUCUCUCUCUCUCUCUCUCUCUCUCUCUCUCUCUCUCUCUCUUCCUCCACAAUCUUUCCUCUCCCUUCUCUCAUUAUUCUUCCUCUUCCUUCCUUUAUCUUCUCUUCCCUUCCCUAUAUCCCCUUCUUCCUCCUCCUCCUCUCCCUUCACUGCUAUCGGACAAGAAUGGACUCACUAGCAAACCUUCCUCCACUUCAAUCUACAACUUCUACACACACCCACUUACUUAAGGACCUCCAGCCACUUAUUCUACACAUUAAUCUACUUAUGUACACUUUUUAACUACUUACUCUACCAAUACUUGUCUCAUUAUAACACUUUUUUGUCAAUCGUGUCUCUACUUGACAACCCAGAGAGUACUUUAGUGAAAUUUGGUAGUAGUAGAAGAGGUAGUAGUAGUAGUAGUAGUAGUAGUAGUAGUAGUAAUAGUAGUAGUAGUAGUAGUAGUAUCAUAUCUAUUCCCUUCAAUUUCUUACCAUACCUCUCCACCCAAAAUUGAUCUCUCUUUUGGGCACUCUUUACUUUAGUCUAUUAUGGGAGCGGCAAGUAGCAGGUUUUUUUUUCUUUCUUUUUGUACUCGAUUUGUUGCCCUCGAACCGUCUCCUUCAUUGUAAAAAAAAUACAUAAAUAAAUAACAAACCAUUGAAUCCUACCUGUCCUGUCUACUUGUCCUGGGUUACACGGCAUAGGUUCACGGGCUCGGCACCACAAGGGAGGCUUUCAUGACCAGUAAUUCAUACAUACACGGUUACACGGCAGCCUUCACACCACAACCUCGUACUUCUCAAUGGUACUCCCGUUGUAAGGUUGGCUAAUAGGAGGAAGCACCCAAAUCAGUCAUAUGUUAGCAGGCCAUACCCAAUAGAGUCAUGCGUCAGGGUGAGAGGUGGAUUGGUAGAUUGGGUUGUAGAAGGCGUGAAUGCACCCAAUCAAGUCAUGUGUUUGGUUGAGUGAUGGACGCACCCAAAUGAGGUCAUAUAAGAGGUGGAUGUACCCAAUGUAAGUCACUUGAGAGGAAGCUGUACCCAAUUUUAAGUCAUUUGAGAGGAGGCUGUACCCAAUUUUAAGUCAUGUGAGAGAGGAUGUACCCAAUUUUAAGUCAUGUCAGUGGCGAGCAUACCAAUUUUAAGUCAUGUCAGAGGUAAAUGUACCCAAUUUAAGUCAUAUGAGAGGAAAAUGUACCCAAUUAAGUUCAUCCCCACAAGCUAAGUUAUUGUUAUCAUUUUCAGUGGUGCCAUGAAAGAAGAAAAGUAGAAAAAAGAUGAAGAAAAA